rnacentral:misc_RNA from 1 species
GAUGAAGAACGCAGCGAAAUGCGAUAAGUAGUGUGAAUUGCAGAAUUCAGUGAAUCAUCGAAUCUUUGAACGCACAUUGCGCCCGUCAGUAUUCUGGCGGGCAUGCCUGUUCGAGCGUCAUUACGCCCCUCAAGUCCCCUGUGGACUUGGUGUUGGGGAUCGGCGAGGCUGGUUUUCCAGCACAGCCGUCCCUUAAAUUAAUUGGCGGUCUCGCCGUGGCCCUCCUCUGCGCAGUAGUAAAACACUCGCAACAGGAGCCCGGCGCGGUCCACUGCCGUAAAACCCCCCAACUUUUUAUAGUUGACCUCGAAUCAGGUAGGACUACCCGCUGAACUUAAGCAUAUCAAUAAGCGGAGGA